rnacentral:lncRNA from 1 species
ACUGGUAGAGUUGCUUUUAGACAUUGGCAUAGUGUAAGUUCCAAAUGCCAAGAUUCAAGGCCAGUGUUUGGCUGGUCUAGAUAUUGACCCAUGGUAUUCAGGCUCAGUAUUGAGUACCUGGUCCACAAGGAAAUAAGGGAUCUGGCCCAAAAUAGCUCGACAUCGUAGGCAUUCGGGAUUCCUUGCCUCAUCGACCGUAGACCUCGGUUUGAUUCCAGCUCGAAGCAAUUAUGUUCUUCUAUAUUCCCCUCCUCACCUUUUCUUUUCUAUUCCCCUCCUCAUCUAUAAAAGCUUGAGAUAGGGAUUUGCCUAGCCACCCAUGAGUUCCUCCUGAGGCGGCGGGGGCGCAGGUCUUGGUACGUGAGCCCUCAUUCCCGCCUCCUCGUCAAACGUUGGUGGGAUCCUUGUGUUAAUUCAAGCCGUCCUUCCUAAAAUGACAUCUAAUUUGGGAAAAACGGAUAAAAAAAAUAAAAACUUAUGAAAUAGGAGCGAGAGAGCAGUAAGUGUUUCCAACAUUUAUCACAUACAUACUACUCCCUCACC